rnacentral:rRNA from 1 species
CUACGGGCUGCACCAGUGAGGAAUAUUGCACAAUGGGGGGAACCCUGAUGCAGCAACGCCGCGUGGAGGAUGACGCAUUUCGGUGUGUAAACUCCUUUUAUAUGUCAAGAAAAUGACGGUAGCAUAUGAAUAAGCACCGGCUAACUCCGUGCCAGCAGCCGCGGUAAUACGGAGGGUGCAAGCGUUACUCGGAAUCACUGGGCGUAAAGGACGCGUAGGCGGGUUGGAAAGUCAGGUGUGAAAUCCUACAGCUUAACUGUAGAACUGCACUUGAAACUUCUAAUCUAGAGUAUGGGAGGGGGAGAUGGAAUUAGUGGUGUAGGGGUAAAAUCCGUAGAUAUCACUAGGAAUACCUAAAGCGAAGGCGAUCUGCUGGAACAUAACUGACGCUAAGGCGUGAAAGCGUGGGGAGCAAACAGGAUUAGAUACCCGGGUAGUC